rnacentral:rRNA from 1 species
CAGGCGUCACACAUGCAAGUCGAGCGCGUAGCAAUACGAGCGGCAGAACGGUGAGUAACGCGUGGGAAUAUACAUAGCUAUACGGAAUAACAUCAGGGAGACUUGGAUUAAUACCGUAUACGCCCUUUGGGGGAAAGAUUUAUCGGAGUUGGAUGAGCCCGCGUUGGAUUAGCUAGUUGGUGGGGUAAUGGCCUACCAAGGCGACGAUCCAUAGCUGGUAUGAGAGGAUGAUCAGCCACACUGGGACUGAGACACGGCCCAGACUCGUACGGGAGGCAGCAGUGGGGAAUAUUGGACAAUGGGCGCAAGCCUGAUCCAGCCAUGCCGCGUGAGUGAUGAAGGCCCUAGGGUUGUAAAGCUCUUUCACCGGUGUAGAUAAUGACGGUAACCGGAGAAGAAGCCCCGGCUAACUUCGUGCCAGCAGCCGCGGU